rnacentral:rRNA from 1 species
AUUGAACGCUGGCGGCAGGCCUAACACAUGCAAGUCGAACGGUAACAGGAAGCAGCUUGCUGCUUUGCUGACGAGUGGCGGACGGGUGAGUAAUGUCUGGGAAACUGCCCGAUGGAGGGGGAUAACUACUGGAAACGGUAGCUAAUACCGCAUAACGUCGCAAGACCAAAGAGGGGGACCUUAGGGCCUCUUGCCAUCGGAUGUGCCCAGAUGGGUUUAGCUAGUAGGUGGGGUAACGGCUCACCUAGGCGACGAUCCCUAGCUGGUCUGAGAGGAUGACCAGCCACACUGGAACUGAGACACGGUCCAGACUCCUACGGGAGGCAGCAGUGGGGAAUAUUGCACAAUGGGCGCAAGCCUGAUGCAGCCAUGCCGCGUGUAUGAAGAAGGCCUUCGGGUUGUAGAGUACUUUCAGCGGGGAGGAAGGGAGUAAAGUUAAUACCUUUGCUCAUUGACGUUACCCGCAGAAGAAGCACCGGCUAACUACGUG